UGAUGAUUUAUCUUUUUGUACAAAAUAGUAUGACAAUC
rnacentral:sRNA from 1 species